UACGUAGGGUGCGAGCGUUAAUCGGAAUUACUGGGCGUAAAGCGUGCGUAGGCGGUUUUGUAAGCCAGAUGUGAAAUCCCCGGGCUUAACCUGGGAAUGGCAUUUGGGACUGCAAGGCUGGAGUGCGGCAGAGGAGACUGGAACUCCUGGUGUAGCAGUGAAAUGCGUAGAUAUCAGGAGGAACACCGAUGGCGAAGGCAGGUCUCUGGGCUGACACUGACGCUCAUGCACGAAAGCGUGGGGAGCAAACAGG
rnacentral:rRNA from 1 species